rnacentral:rRNA from 2 species
AGAGUUUGAUUCUGGCUCAGGACGAACGCUGGCGGCGUGCCUAACACAUGCAAGUCAUACGGAUACAGAAGUUAGAAUACAUAGGUUAUCUGACUUCCGACUAUCUAACUUCUGUUAUCAGUGGCUGCACGGGUGAGUAACGCGAUGGGAAUCUACCCCGAAGGGGGGGAUAACCCCUCCAAAGGGGGGCUAAUACCGCGUAAUUCCUACCGGGUAAAGAUGGCCUCUUCUAGGCUAUCGCUUCCGGAUGAUCCCGCGUCCUAUUAGCUAGUUGGUGAUGUAAUGGCUUACCAAGGCCACGAUGGGUAGCCGGUCUGAUAAGAUGAACGGCCACCCUGGGACUGAGACACCGCCCAGACUCCUACCGGAGGCAGCAAUGGGGAAUUUUGCGCAUUGGGGGAGACCCUGACGCGCCAUCGCCGCGUGGAUGAUGAACGCCUUCGGGUUGUAGAGUCCUGUUCUGGGGGAAGAAACGGUACGAAGCCUAUACCUUCCUGCCCUGACGGUACCCCGCCAGAAAGCUCCGGCCAAUUAUGUGCCAGAACCCGCGGUAAUACAUCAGGAGCAAGCGUUGUCCCGAAUUAUUGGGCGUACAGAACUCGUAGACCGUUCGGACAGUCAGCUGUGAAAUCUCCAGGCUCAACCUGUUAAGGUCAGUUGAGACUUCCGAACUUGAGGGUAGAACAGGAGAGUGGAAUUCCCUGUGUAGCGAUGAAAUGCGUAGAUAUCGGGAGGAUCACCAGUGACGAACGCGGCUUUCUGGUCUACGCCUGACGUUGAGGAUCGAAUGCCACUGGAGCACACGGGAUUAGAUACCCCGGUACUCCUGUCGCUGAACGAUGGAUACUAUGUGUAGAAGGUAUCGACCCUUUGUGUGCCGCAGUUAACACAUUAAGUAUCCCGCUUGGGGAGUACGGUAGCAAGGCUGAAAGUCAAAGGAAUUGACGAGGGCCCGCACAAGCGGUGGAGCAUGUGGUCUAAUUCGACGCAACGAGAAAAACCUUACCGCGGCUUGACAUCUUUCUGUCCGCAUGGGAAACCAGGUAUUCUUCGUUGGGGAAGACAGAAAGACAGCGUGGUGCAUGGUUGUCGUCAGCUGGUGUCGUGAGAUGAUGGGUUAAGUCCCACAACGAGCGCAACCCUUGUCAUUAUUUGCCAGCAUGUUUACAGGUGCACUUUAAGGAGACUGCCGUAGAUAAUACGGAGGAAGGUGGGGAUGACGUCAAAUCGUCAUGCCCGUCACGUCCCGGGCUACACACGUGGUACAAUGGUGUGUACAAAGGGUGACCAAGGAGCGAUCAGGAGUCAAUCCCAAAAAGCAGGUCCCAGUUCUGAUUGGAGGAUUCAACUCGCCUCCACGAAGUAGGAAUAGUUAGUAAUCGUGGAUCAGCAUGAUGCGGUGAAUCCGUUCCUGGGCGUCGUACACACCGCCCGUCACACCACGAAAGUUGGCGAUACAUGAAGUUACCAUACCAACCCUUUGGGGAGGAAGGUACCGAGGGUAUGGUCAGCGAUUGGGGUGAAGUCGUAACAAGGUAACCG